rnacentral:rRNA from 1 species
AGCGAACGCUGGCGGCAGGCCUAACACAUGCAAGUCGAACGAAGUCUUCGGACUUAGUGGCGGACGGGUGAGUAACACGUGGGAACGUGCCUUUAGGUUCGGAAUAACUCAGGGAAACUUGUGCUAAUACCGAAUGUGCCCUUCGGGGGAAAGAUUUAUCGCCUUUAGAGCGGCCCGCGUCUGAUUAGCUAGUUGGUGAGGUAAAGGCUCACCAAGGCGACGGUCAGUAGCCGGUCUGAGAGGAUGAGCAGCCACAUUGGGACUGAGACACGGCCCAAACUCCUACGGGAGGCAGCAGUGGGGAAUCUUGCGCAAUGGGCGAAAGCCUGACGCAGCCAUGCCGCGUGAAUGAUGAAGGUCUUAGGAUUGUAAAAUUCUUUCACCAGUGAAGAUAAUGACUGUAGCCGGAGAAGAAGCCCCGGCUAACUUCGUGCCAGCAGCCGCCUUAAAAC